rnacentral:misc_RNA from 1 species
GAUGAAGAACGCAGCAAAAUGCGAUAAGUAAUGUGAAUUGCAGAAUUCAGUGAAUCAUCGAAUCUUUGAACGCACAUUGCGCCCGCCAGUAUUCUGGCGGGCAUGCCUGUUCGAGCGUCAUUUCAACCCUCAAGCACAGCUUGGUGUUGGGACUCGCGUUAAUUCGCGUUCCUCAAAUUGAUUGGCGGUCACGUCGAGCUUCCAUAGCGUAGUAGUAAAACCCUCGUUACUGGUAAUCGUCGCGGCCACGCCGUUAAACCCCAACUUCUGAAUGUUGACCUCGGAUCAGGUAGGAAUACUCGCUGAACUUAAGCAUAUCAAUAAGCGGAGGA